CGUCAGGUGUGUAUCGCCUCUCUCAGGUGAAGAAGUAUUUAACUCAGGUGUGUUUCUCCUCUCUACAGGUGUAGAAGUAUUUAACUCAGGUGUGUUCUCCGCUACGAGGUGUAGAAAGUAUUUAACUCAGUGUGUUCUCCUCUCUACAGGUGUAGAUGUAUUUAACUCAGGUGUAGAAGUAUUUAACUCAGGUGUGUUCUCCUCUCUACAGGUGUAGAGUAUUUAACUCAGGUGUGUUCUCCCUCUCUACAGGUGUAGAUGUAUUUAACUCAGGUGUGUUCUCCUCUCUACUAGGUUGUAGAUGUAUUUAACUCAGGUGUGUUCUCUCUCUCUCUCAGGUGUAGAGUAUUUAAACUCAGGUGUGUUCUCCUCUCUACAGGUGUAGAGUAUUUACUCAGGUGGUGUUCUCCUCUCUACAGGUGUAGAUGUAUUAACUCAGGUGUUCUCCUCUCUACAGGUGUAGAGUAUUUAACUCAGGUGUGUUCUCCUCCUCAAGGGUAGAGUAAUUUAACUCAGGUGUGUUCUCCUCCACAGGUGUAGAGUAUUUAACUCAGGGUUUUCCUCUCUACAGUGAGAUGUAUGUUAACUCAGGUGUGUUCUCCUCUCUACUAGUGUAGAAGUAUUUAACUCAGGUGUGUUCUCCUCCCUCU
rnacentral:lncRNA from 1 species